ensembl:lincRNA
AUGAGACUUUGUGAGCAUCUGUGGAGUGUCUGGGGGUCAGUUUUCAGAGAUGGGAAGUGCAGGGUGGCAGUGGCUAGCAGAGGAAGGGGGCAGGGCUGGGGGGGCAGAGCCACCGGGCCCCGUGCUGGCGGGGCCCCUGGGGGCCGCCGGGACCCCCCGGGGGCGCNNNNNNNNNNNNNNNNNNNNNNNNNNNNNNNNNNNNNNNNNNNNNNNNNNNNNNNNNNNNNNNNNNNNNNNNNNNNNNNNNNNNNNNNNNNNNNNNNNNNAAGGGCGGGGUGGGGGUGGCUAGCAGAGGAAGGGGGCGGGGCUGGGGGGGCAGAGCCACCGGGCCCCGUGCUGGCGGGGCUCUUGGGGCCUGCAGGAACCCCCUGGGGCAGCAUGGGGCCCUCUCUGCUAACUGCCCAGAAGCCCUGGGGCGUGGGGGCCGGGCUUUGGACAAGAGGCGGAGCAGAGGAGACUCUGGGGGUCGAGGUCUGGUGGACAGUUGGGGAGCAGCUGGAGCGGGAAGGACAGCGGCGCUGAGUGUCCUGUUCCGGGCCCUCCGCCCUGGUGCUGCAGCCGUGGGCCUGGGGCCACCCCGUCCCACAUGACUCCAAGAGGCUGCGCCCAUAGCUUCAUCGCAAACAGAGACACCAGCUGGGAGACUGUUUACCGGCCAGCUGGUCUUAGCAGAAAAUUAAUACCAACUUCUAUCAUCUUUUUAAUUUAUGAAGAGACUAAACCAGAACUUUUUCUUCUUUAUUGCAAGCAGAUUCAGGUCUCCUGCCUAGAUAUUCUGCAGAAAAGCCCAAUCAUAAUUAAUAUUAUGAAGCUAUACUUUUCUGAAAUAAAAGGUAAAAACAGUAGCAUACAAAAUAAAUUUUACAGAAAUUUAAGAUUUGGUUUAAUUCACCGUUUAAUUUUUCAAAGCAGAUUAAUAAAUUAUCAAUUAAACAUUACUGUUCAGAGGUUGAUUAUCUUAAACACACCUACUAUAUUCAAUAAUUUAAAAAUAAAUUCCAGUAUUUAUGAUGACAAUACCCAUAGAUACCAUGUGUUAAAUAUAUUUUUGAAGAUUCUCUUUAUCACAUUACAUAAUGAAUGAACAUUUUAAACAGCGAUGCAGACACACGUAAUUUUAAGUCAGAGACAAUAUAUGCAUAUUAAAAUUCUGUGUAUUUUGAUAAGGUAAAAAAUAAAGCUAUAUAAACUGAUCUUUAGAUUUUUUUUCUGCAAAAGUAGAAUCACACUUUAAUAAUACUCUGACACAUCUUCAUUAAAGCUUUGUUUAUAGACAUCAAAACGAUCCUCACCCCCAUUCACCAACCCUCUUACUAAAAAAAAAACAAAACAGAAUGGAUGCAUUUGCCAGCUGACAUUUUUCCUGUUUUUAAAGUUAGAGAUGGGAAACUUCCAAAAGAAAGUGCAUACCAAGCUGUUACACUGAGUUGUUAAAUAAAUACCAUUAAUUUUAAGAUAAGCAGAAGUGGUUGCAUUAGGUCAUUCAUAAUCAGUGCAAAACAGAUGGACUUAGUGGUUUAAAAAAAAAAGGCCGGAAACUUCCCUUAGGUUGCCCUGAACUUUUGGUUGAUGCCCGUGAAUUUAAGAAUAGUUACACUGUGUGCGAGGCAUUGCUAUAGUUCAAGCUGCAAAGUCUCACAAGGCGUACUAGGCGUCUGCGACCUGUUACUGCGGAAGCUCCGCCCCCAGCGAGCCUCGCGGCCGGAGCCCCUGGGGGUCGUUUGGUCUGUGUCCGCCCGUGGAGUCAAGGGCACAGGAACAGGCUGAUUGGGGUUCUGACAGGAGUGGCCGAGGGCGCGUCUCUUCUCCCAGCCGGGAUGUGGCUGCAGCUGGGAGGGUCCGGCCCUGGUCCUGAGGGCGGGUCCCCUCCAGUGGGGAGGCUAGCUCCGGGGGAUGGCGUGCAGGUCAGGAACCAGACGUCCGGACCAACUCGGGGAGAUGUUAAUACGUGGUUAUUGUGCAGCUGUGAGUAAGAUUUUCAAAACUAAGGAAGAUGCUUCAAUUACUUGCUUUAAGGUCAGUGUAAGGCAAGCAAGCACUGCCCACCGCCAGGUGGGAGUCUCACUGUCCUGUCUGAAAUGUCCCUUCCCUGGUUCUCGUCCCUCCCUGGCUUCUGGUCUCAUGCCCCUGGUCCAUCUCACACUGUCAGGCGCAGCCACUUAGGAACUUCCCAAACAAUUUUAAGAAGACAUAUUGGGGUGUGUAACGGUCAGUAGCUGUCCUAAGGAGACUUGAAUUAUCCGAGGUAAGUGAUAACCGUCUGGAUACAGGCAGAAAGAGGACAGUGAACCGUCAAGAAGCUUCUAUUUUAAGGCUGAAGGAUAGAAAAAAAAAAAAAAAAAACCUAAACAAAAAUUAGAUGAAAUUGCAAUGAACGGUGAAGAAAGAGCAGAGCAAAUGAUCAGACUCUAAAUAUGCCUUGUAACUACUCGCUCCUGCCAGAAACACCAAAAAGAAGGCAGGCGCAGAGAAUGAAGUCGAAUCUGAAAAUUCACAUUCAUCAGAUAUUGAGACAUUCAGCCAAAACAUCCACCAGAAUUUAAAUGUAAAGCGGCCAAAAUGUCUUCAACUUAAAAAAUAAAAGCUUUAAAAACAUACUUUAAAAAUUAGAUAUGGUACAUUAACGAAUGAACGAAUCAAAGAGAUAUAAACAGCUAUGAAAAUACUUCAGUGCAAAGGCCAUUUCAAGAUCUCUAAAAAAAUACAUUACAAAGAAUUUGUUAACUAAAACAUACACAGAAUCUGCCCCCCACAGGUAUGACAUUUAUACCCAUUUUAGGUUCUUAAAAACGGCUGUAAAAACGCACACACCGUUGUUUGCAGGGCCUAGUGCGGGCCUCGCGCCGGACGCGGGCGUGAGUGACAGCGAGGG